ACCCGCCAAAGCGGUCAGUGCAGUCAAGUUUCCCGCCCAAAAGCAAGAUAUCUACCAAAAACCCUCAUAUUUUUCACAAAAGUGUUUCCUGUGGGGUCGAUUUUGGCUCUUUCUCGCUCGGUGCCCCCGACCAUUAAUAUUUACCACAAACAAUAAGCCAUUGCGCCAAAACAUCGGCGAGGGUUCGUUUCUGGUUUUUCUUUUGGUUGUUGGGGCUGUAAAAAAAUGUGCUGAACAAUGGUUGUUUUUCAUGUUGACGCAUAUUCGCACCAAUUGCAAGAUUAUACCGGGACUUCGCACUUUUUUAAAGUAAAAUCGUUGCAUAUGUGAAUUUUUUUUGCUUUCCGAAAAGGGUAGCGCAGGCACAUUACCGUGACUCCUUUUUUCGCCUUUUAUAAUGCAGAGGUCCUGUGUAAUGCUUUUCUGCAUCUUCAGCGGGAGCUGUGGGAAUGACAGUUUGCCGCGUCAAACCCCCGUGCGCCACAGGAACGGUUUUGUCUCACACCGAAAACUUCUCAGAUUCGGCAUUUUUUUCGCGCAUCGGCUCUAUGGGGCCGCAGAUCUCGAACCGAAUCGAUUGAAAUGCUGAAUCAUUUUAUUCUUUGAUAUGUGAACAACUCGCGGCUUCCCUGGGCAGACAAAAUGGUCAGUCGUCUCCAUAAUUCAAAGCAGAAUGAAUGCGAUAAAUUUCGCAGCUUUCUCUGGAGAACAGUUCUUCAGACGGAUUUGUGACAACUUGCUGCAUCAUACUUUUGGCAUGGAAGCAUUUGUAGCAAAGUUGAAAAAUUCUGCAAUUUUGGGUGCUUCUCCUCACUUUUUGGCUGCCCUUUUUCGCCAACUAGAUAGACUUAAACGGCCUUUUCCGCCAAGGGAAGUUCCCUGAUUAGCUUUUUGCCUCCAUGUUCAUUUUGCCGCAGAGCAUGCGCUGAACGCUCGGCCGGGCCUUUCGCAAGCCCCAGAUCGCGUGGCGCGAAGCAGGGGUGGGCACGCGCUAGGGUGCUGCGCCGACUCAGUCGUCGGAGGGCACGGCCCCCGCCUCGAACUCUGCUCACACACCUCUCGCUCCGCAGGUCGCCUCACCGCCGCUCCCGCAUCAUGCCGGUCGCCGCCUGGUGCAUCCUCCCCUCGGGGUGCCUCAGGCCUCCCCCACACCGCUGUAGGCAGCGCGAGGGCCGGGGGUGGGAUAUGCGCUCGCGUCACGCUGAAGCUCUGCCUGUCACAUGGAUGGCGCAGACGUGUACGCUGACCCACUGUCGCAGGUCGCUCCAACGCAACGCCAUCCAGGACCUGACGGCUGAUAACAGUAGGAAUACAUGGGCUUGACUUUCGGCAGUAAGUGGGUAAGUUUCUCUUUCGCCCUGGCCGGGGGUCGGUGGUUGCAGUGGGGGGCCCCAAGUGCUGCGGGUGGUGUGGUUUGUUGUGGCGGUUUGAAAGUUUUCCCCUUCAUGGGUUGUGCGAGCCUGGAAGAAAAUGCAGCCAGGUGAAGGCUGCGGAGUUGUUUUUUGCGACGGAUGUUUUCCAUGCGGGAGAGGAAGGCGAGGUGAAUCUAGCGGGGCGCUGCUGCACGUGUGCUGGCCCCGAAGGCGUCGGUCGGAGAAAGGGCCUUAAGUAAAGCUGUUUCUUGGGAGACCUCUUGCUGCACGGUCUUGUCACUUGGGGUUGAAAAGACGGAUGGUUUGUGUGAAGUGGGGAUCAGGCCGACGGAGGGGCUGGAGGUGGUUGUGGUGUGUGUGUGUGUAUGGGGGGGGGGAGGGCAACGCAGAGAGGUAUGCCGUGGUCUCACCGCCGCGAUAAAAGUCAUGUCUGCGGGCUGUUGUGAAGGGCUGAUUCAAUCGGGAACAGUGAGAGGGUCUGGGAUGCUGAAUGCGUGAGUUGUAUUUUUAGGCGUGAAGCCUGGAUAGCAAUGUAACUUAGUAGCCCACGUGUUGGGAAAGGAGAAUCUCUUUCCCUUCAACUGCCUGUGCAGGUCUUUUUUUUUUCGCAGAAAAAGUUUCACGUGGUGAUUGUACUGAAGCGCAAAAGUUUCCAUGGAGCAAUGCGGUGGCUGGACGGAAGCAUAUAUAUAUAUAUGUAUAUGUAUAUGUUGCGUAUGCUGUGUGCUCUGCGGGUAUUCGUCCACAGUGCUGCAGUGUAGAUUAACAACCGCAUUUUUUAUCAGCUGUAAGGCAGCUAUUUUUCAUUAUGAUCGCUCAAAGUUUUGAGCUGGCGCCGACUGGCUCAAAAUAAAAAAGCGAUUCAGUUCGAAGAACAGGGUUAAUGAGAAAGAGAGUUGUUUAUCGAAACAACUCUCUCGAGAGUCGCUUUUUCCUGAGUCUUGAGUAGGUGUUUGUUCGCUAUUGCUAUACUUGAGAAAUACAGGAAGUAAAGCGCGCGAACGGAAAAAAGACAGAUGCGCGUUUGACAGUGAGGUCCACUUGUGGAUACGGCGGGACUGCGUCUACAAUAGAGAGUAUUCAUAGAAAAACAGUCGACCCAAAACAUCUUCAGUCUGCGUCAUCAAUUGUUUCUUGUGUGGAGUGCUCCUUGUAAGGCAAACACGAAGGCUGGGCGUAGUACGUUCCGAUUUGCUUGUACUUGUGCUCGCACACUUUCGUGCUCUCAUCCAAUAGUUGGGUGUAUUCAUCAUUUUGGUCUUUUGCGCCACAUUCUCUGGCCCUCACAGACAAGGACAACAGGAGGAUCAUAGUUGUGAAACAAAGAAGAUCUCAGCUCCUAUUUUGCAAUUCAAAGAGCACGCGACGUUUUUUUUUUCGCAGUAGAUAUAACUAUGAGUCGUUUUCGGAUUGCAUUCAAAGCAUGACUUCUCGAAAAGAGUUUUAAAUAUUUUAUGUGGCGCUGUGAAAGCUCGCUGCGGAUUGUUUUGCUCGCUAUUCUUCAGCGUUUUGCCGGUGAUCGUGAAUUACUUGAUCUUUUCCCGAAAGUUUUCGGAUUGUUGACUGACAUCAUUUUUCCAGGGUGUAGAAACAAGACUUAAAUUCCACAGACUUUGAGUUUAAGCUCGAUCGUAAGUGCUUUUUCGUUGCUAAGGUCUUGUGCUGCAAGCUACUACCGUUUAACUUGUUCAAAUCGAUCAAUAUAUAGGAUUUCUUUUUCCACCUUUAUCAUAUUACACGAUGCACUCCCCGUUAAGUGAUCAACGUUGUGUUUACUAAUUGUCUUUUUUUUUAUUGAAUUUUGUCAAGCAGCUGCACCUUGCAGCGCGGUCACCAACAUUUGAAAGUUUCUUCAUGACUGGAAAUACGAGAAAGUCUUCUAUCAAUCGUGUCUGGUUUUCCGCCUUUUUCAAUAGUGAGAAACUGAGCAAACCUUUCGAGUAAAGGAGUCGAAAAACGUUUCUUUUUGAAAUACAAUCCUUGAAAAUAGUUGUUUCCUUUUCCGUGAUAUUCUUUUGCUUGAAAACAUCAAGGUUGAAAACAAAGCUCGUUUACACGAACUUCACCUAAGUUUUUCUUUUCUGUGUGAUCCACUGCAUCCAUGACGACGUGUGGACACCGCUCAGUGCGCCGUAUCUCAGGGUCCACUACCCACGCACUGUGUGGUGAAGCCAAGCAGCCCUCCCCAGCCCUAUCCCCUGCCGGAUGCAGAACCACCUCUGGUGGUGACACGGCCAGGCCCUGGAUGGCGUUGCGUUGGAGCGACCUGCGACAGUGGGUCAGCGUACACGUCUGUGCCAUCCACGUGACAGGCAGAGCGUCAGCGUGACGCGAGCGCAUAUCCCACCCCCGGCCCUCGCGCUGCCUACAGCGGUGUGGGGGAGGCCUGAGGCACCCCGAGGGGAGGAUGCACCAGGCGGCGACCGGCAUGAUGCGGGAGCGGCGGUGAGGCGUGUCUAGGGCUGCUUCUCACCACGCGAUGUGAGGCCUGUGACAGGCCUGGCCGAGUGGUGUUCAGCGCAUGCUCUGCGCCAGAAUGGGCAAGUUGAAAAGCAGAAAAUAGUUUACUGCUGAGCAAUUUGUCAAGGAGAGACUAGGUGCAGCCUAAUAACCACAAGAUAAUGUAUUGUGGGCUAAAAGAUGCAAAGUUUUCUGGCAGUGAUAUGCGUGUUUUUGUUUGAAGACAGAGCGCAUGAUAUCUGUGGCGCUGGACGUGCCGGGUAGCAGUUGUUCUGUGAUCGCGGAUUCUCUGUGAGUCCUUGCACUGCAGAAGUACUACCCCGAAGGUAGAAGUUUGAUUUCUUUGUUGACUUCAGAGGCAGGCAGCUCGAGCCGUGAGGUUCUGUUGCUCUGGGAAGAUCGACUUAUGAGCCAUCGCACACACACACACACACAAAGAAAACGUCGCAUUUUGUUCAAAUAAGCGAUGCUGCUUUAAUAUGAAUUACCUGUUCGCUGCCUUUUUUUUGUAGGUGACCAAAAAGAGUAGCGAGUGACGACCCUUUUUUUCAUAUUGAUGGCUUUGUGAUAGUCGAUAAUUGCUGUUUGCACUUUUUUCUUCACGAAUGAAUGCCGGUGAAUUUGCAAUAAAGCACGUCGGGCGCUUUGCGGCAUAUAAAUGUUUGCUUUUUUCACAUUUCGGAUACUUGCUAUCCUUCUGCGCUUGGCCUAAGGAGCAGCGAAGCGAGCAACACGAUGAAAAAAAACUAUUUAUUGCACAUCGAAGGAAGAAGCAACUAUUCAUGAGAUUUACAAUGAAUUGUGUGAAGACUGAUGCACGCUUUAGUGUGUUUUUGUUUGAAAAUCGAACUGAACGCAGGUACAGGACGCUCAAUUGACCUCACAAACAAUAUGAUGUACAUCGAAGUGAGCACGUUAUGCUGCGUGCUUCAGUGACCGUCAAUUAUCACCGAGAAUCUAACUUAUGUUUUUUCAAGCACUCCAUAAUAUAUUUAUUGGCUGCGAGUUACUGUUUACUGAGAUGCCAACGUGCCUGUUUUCCCACUGAACACACAUAUUUUACUAGGAGGCAGCAGCUUCUAUUCUGGCGGCCCUCAGAGAGUGUCGUAAAAAAGUCAGUUGGUGCCGCUGAUUGGUUUCGAGUGUGCCACAUCGUUUCACGGUUUUCAAUCGACAGUUAUCUUUUGUGGAAAAUGCAUCGCUUUUGGCUUUUGUUGCCGCUUUUCUUCAUCUUUCGUAGUUGAAACUUUUUGCUUUGCCAUCGAGGCCAAGAACAGGGAGGCAAAGGAAGUUUUGAAAAUUGCAGACGCUUGUUUACAAUACCAACCUUGUUUUAACGUAGACUUAUAUAUGAAAAAUCAGCUGUAGCGACAAUUCAAAAGAGUAACCUCACUAUAUGAAAACAUGUGGUCUCACUGAACAACAGCACUAUUUUUUUGCCCAUUUCUGCUCACCCUGAAGCAAUUGCCAAU
rnacentral:misc_RNA from 1 species